GCCUCAAGUUAUGUGUGACUACCCCCUAA
rnacentral:rRNA from 1 species